GGCAGAACGCUCGCUUUGGCUGCGGGAGUGAGUGUGAGUGUGAGAGCAAGAACAGCCCGCAGGUCCCGAGGCGCUUGCAGGGGACUCUGCCGCGGAAAGUUCCCAGUCCCCAGCCGCAGAAGCUUUUAAUUUUUGGUUGAUUCCUGCUGUCUACUCCUCUUGGAUGCCUUUGUGAAACUGCUUCUAUCUGAGAAGGAGGAGUUGCCAUUUAGCAAGUAGUAGGUGGUACUGUGUGUGGCAGAGUCCGAUGUGUUACACCAAGAGGACAUUCAUCUUUGCAAUUGGUGAAGUCCUUCUACCUAGUUCCCCUUACUUGUGCACAGAAGAGGACUGGAAAACUCUCCUCACAGGACUGCAUACUGCUAUCUCUGAGAAACCAGAAAGAAGAAAGUGCCUCUUCCAAGCUUCUACCUAAGAGUAUACUGGAAGGUUUACCUAGAGCAACAAGACAACGAAAUGGAUUGUCCUUCUCACGAUAGUCCACACAAUCCUCAUCAUUUUGAUAAGAUAGCAUGAAGUCUCUUAUCGCUUGUGGAUCCAGCACUUUGGUUCAGGUUCAUCUGCCCAUAAUUCUCUAAGAUUUGGAGCUGUUGAGGAGUGGCUCAUAGUAGACACUGAACCAUCAGCCAACAGCAUUUGUUGUCCUGGAUGUCUGUGCCAACCUUUCGAGUCACACUGGGGUCUAAAGACACACCUGGAAUAAAAAUCAGAAUGUUUAAGAAACUUAAUAUGAUCUGCGGGAGAAUACACGAGGUUUUUGUUUCAUACCACAGUCUAAUGGCAGCAUGGAUUUCAACUGAUGAUGUUCACCUUUGCCUCUUGGGUCAAUAUGUGAGCUCAGAGAUUUCCCUGCUUUUGUUCUGUCAUUAUGGAUUCUAAACUUCUGAAACUACAUACUCAAUUAAAUGUUUUCUUUUAUA
rnacentral:lncRNA from 1 species